GACAGAGGAUGCAAGCGUUAUCCGGAAUGAUUGGGCGUAAAGGCGUCUGUAGGUGGCUUUCAAGUCCGCCGUCAAAUCCCAGGGCUCAACCCUGGACAGGACGGUGGAAACCUACCAAGCUGGAGUACGGUAGGGGCAGAGGGAAUUUCCGGGUGGAGCGGUGAAAUGCAUUGAGAUCGGAAAGGAACACCAACGGCGAAAGCACUCUAGCUGGGCCGACACUGACAGCUGAGAGACGAAAGCUAGGGAGCAAAUGGGAUUA
rnacentral:rRNA from 1 species